rnacentral:ncRNA from 1 species
UCGACAAUUAGGGUUUACGACCUCGAUGUUGGAUCAGGACAUCCCAAUGGUGUAGCAGCUAUUAAAGGUUCGUUUGUUCAACGAUUAAAGUCCUACGUGAUCUGAGUUCAGACCGGAGGGC